rnacentral:rRNA from 1 species
GACGAACGCUGGCGGCGUGCUUAACACAUGCAAGUCGAACGGAAAGGCCCUGCUUUUGUGGGGUGCUCGAGUGGCGAACGGGUGAGUAACACGUGAGUAACCUGCCCUUGACUUUGGGAUAACUUCAGGAAACUGGGGCUAAUACCGGAUAGGAGCUCCUGCUGCAUGGUGGGGGUUGGAAAGUUUCGGCGGUUGGGGAUGGACUCGCGGCUUAUCAGCUUGUUGGUGGGGUAGUGGCUUACCAAGGCUUUGACGGGUAGCCGGCCUGAGAGGGUGACCGGCCACAUUGGGCCUGAGGUACGGACCAGAGUGCUACGUGGGGCAGCAGUGGGAAAUAUUGCACAACGGGCGGAAGCGUGAUGCAAAGACGCCGCGGGCGGGAUGACGGCCUUCGGGUUGUAAACCGCUUUCGCCUGUGACGAAGCGUGAGUGACGGUAAUGGAUAAAGAAGCACCGGCUAACUACGUG